rnacentral:rRNA from 1 species
CCUACGGGUGGCAGCAGUGGGGCAUAUUGGGCAAUGGAGGCCACUCUGACCCCGCAACGCCGCGUGAAUGAUGAAGGUCUUCGGAUUGUAAAGUUCUUUUCUAAGGGAAGAAGAAAUUGACGGUACCUUAGGAAUAAUCCUCGGCUAACUACGUGCCAGCAGCAGGGUUAAUACGUAGGAGGAAAGCUUUAUCCGGAAUGACUGGGGGGAAAGGGUGCGGGGGUGGUUUGACAAGUUAGUAGCGCAACUCCGGAGCACAACUUCGGAACUACUAAUAAAACUGUUGGACUUGAGUGCAGGAGGGGCAAUCGGAAUUCCUAGUGUAGCGGUGGAAUGCGUAGAUAUUAGGAGGAACACCAGUGGCGAAGGCGGAUUGCUAGACUGUAACUGACACUGAGGCACGAAAGCGUGGGGAGCAAACAGGAUUAGAUACCCCAGUAGUC